ensembl:snoRNA small nucleolar RNA SNORA13
AGCCUUUGUGUUGCUGGCUCACCUUUGGUCACCAGAGCAUGUGGUGUCAAAAAAGGCAUAAACUGAUGUUUUACAACCUUUGGUUACCCUAGCGUUUGGUGUCUUGGGUGUAGGAGCUGUGUAAGUAACAGAA